GGGGGGAGGGCAAGCCCCCAGCUGUCGCAGGAGGAGAAGAAUGGGCGGCUGAGCGCUGGGAGCGGUGUCCACACAGGGUGUCCCAUCCAGACUGGAGGGGCGCGGCCCCCUGAGCAGGAAGCUGGGGUCCGGGCCCGGGGGCGGGGCUAGGACCGGAAGCAGGAGAUAAGACGCUGCCUGUCCUCCUGCUCCCUCUGCCCGCCUCCCCUCACCAGCCUCCUCCCUCUCACCUGCAAAUUAGACUGUCUCCCGAAGAAGAGAGCGAAUUAGAGUGUAUCUUUCCCUCCUUAGUCCCCCUUUUGUUUUCAGGUUCCGAAAUGUCACAGGGUGUCUCUUCCCGGCUCCGAAGCUCCGGGCAGCCCAUCUCACAGGUCACAGGAGAGGGCCCACCUUUUGAGCUGGCUCCUGCCACCAGCGUGCCCUGAGGACUCUCUGCCUCCUGAGGUCUCUGCGCUGGAGUGGCCCAGCUCAGGGCCCUGCACUGGUCAGCCUCGCGGAGGCCAGGCUUGGUGUGAGCUCCCUGCACCCCCUCCCCACGCUCUCUGUGCGAAGACCCUGCGGAAGCAUGGACUCACCCGCUUGGCUGAAGCCCUGGGCAGCACUGGACCUUGCGCUGCCCCUUCUGGGCCCACGUGGCCCCAACCGGAGCGAUUCCCAUUAGAGAAGGGUCAUCUGUGCCACCCAGUCCCUGGGGAGUGGCAGCACGCCCUGGACCUGACCCCCCGUGGGACCCAGGCUCUGCAGGUGAAGCUGGGCAUCUGGAGGCCCUUGGGGGCCUUGACUCCUCUUGUUCCAGCCUUCCCUCCCCCAGACAUCAGACCUGAAUCCACGCGGAGGCCCAGCCCAGGGCCAGCGACUUCCUGGUGAGCUUGCACGUGGCACACUCUCAGGUCUGGAGCAUUUUAGCAACUGGCUCCUUUCCCCAAGAGGGAGGUGCUCUGGGCUCGUGGGCGCGGUGGCCUGUGUGGGUCACCCCAUCCUUCCUUUCUGUGUCGGAAUAACGUCCGAGGCUGGGCCCGUUCUCUCCCCACCUCGCUCCCUGGAUGGACGCGUGUCCUUUCCACCUUUCGGCCACUGUGAACCCGCGCGUGCAUGCAUGUGUUUAGCUGGAAUUCCAACGUGGGCCUGGGCAGGCAUGCGGGCUUCUGACAGACCCACUGACUCCACCCCACCAGCUCUGAACCUGCUCAGUCAGCACCGGGUCUGCCGUUGCCCCCACACCGUGUCCCCGAAGACCCCAAGCUGAGACCGGCCCAAGGCUGCGGCGGGGUCGCGUCCCGCCUCCUCCUGUGUUAGGUACCACGACGUGCGGGUGAAUGUCCCGCCCACCCCCGCAAUUGUCACUUCUGUUCUCGUUUGUUCUCACCUCGUGCUGGCGAGAGAGCAUGGUUAAGAGACACAUCGCGGGGUGUCUCAGAGGAGGCAGGGGAGACCCUUCGCCAUCCGCCCGUGACAGACGGAAAGGAGCUGAUUUCCUUCCCCAAGUUCCAGUCAAGCGCCAGGCUGCCAACAUCUCUUAUUUGUCAGAGGGCAGAACCGUGGGGCGGCGAGUCACCCGCUUCCCGCAGGAUCCGGUCCGCGUGGUCAGAGUCAGCACGACCCUCCUUUUCCGUUUACCCACACACGGGUCCCAAUAAAAUAUUCAUGCGGUGUCACCUCCCCGGCCAGCAGCAGCCUCGGAGUGUGCAGCGGGGAGCAGAGAGGAGGGCACUGCCCCGUCCAUAAACACCGCAUGGGCACAACAUAAAUAAGAAACCGCCGAGAUGCAGGAACUCAAGACCGGAAUUCAUCCUUCGUGGCUUGAAGGCACCAGCCAUAACCGGCAUCGCCCUCAGUCUCCGCGUCGGGGCCGCCCGUUCCUGACAUCGCUCUGGGCCGUGACCACGACGUCUAGUGCCCGGGGUACCUCCCCCCAACUCAAGGCCUGGGGUUUUGGAAAAGGCUGGCGGCACAGGGGCUGUGUUACUAACCAAGGUGACGGUGGGUUCUGCGAGGCUGGGGGAGGGGCGGCACCACCCCCUACAGGUGCACACUGUGUCUGGAACUGUGGUCAGGUCACCAGGUCCCCAGAGCGACGUCCCCCUGCGCAGAGCUGUAGAGAGGCUACCAGGCACUGGCUUGUGGCCUUGGAGGGCUCCCCCCCACCUCGGCAGCCUCCCCAGGACGCCUCCCAUCUCUGCACUGUCCACACCCCCCCGAAAAUCUGGGGCAUCCACACCCCCAGGCUUCCAUCCCUUCAUCCUCCUUAGUGGGUGGACCUCGCUCCUGCAUCUCUGCUCUAUUGCCCCCAGGCCCAGCCUCCUCCCCACCCAGCUUUGCAAAGAGACCCUUUUAACUAAAAAGGACAGCAUGUGAGAGUGGCCCCCUGUGGAACCCGUGCCUUAGAGUGUAUUCUCUGCAAAGUCGCUGGGAGAUCAGAGGACCAUGCAGUCAUUGAACAGACAGCUCCUGAGCCCUUGCCAGGGGGAAGGUGCUGAGCCUGGCAUUUGGAAGAUCCUUCCAAAGGGUGGAGGAGCUCCUGGUCCAGUGGGAGAGGAUCCACUGUGGCCAAAAGGUAUAAGGCAGAAUGUGAGGACAUGAGGAAAGGCCCGUAAACUCCGAGGAGAGGAGAAAAAAUGCACUUGUUUUGUGGGAUAUUUAAAAUGGGUUUUGAGGGAUGAAUAGGAGUUCAUCAGGUAGAGCCUGUAGCAUCUUACAAGGCUUAGAGGCACAGAACAGAACAAGAAGUUCAGGGCUUUGCAGGUGUCUGGAGGGAGAGUGUAUGAGAGAUGGGCAGAGUACUGAUAAUUAAGGGGGUUUUGAAUAACAGAAAAUCAUUUUAAGUUUCUAAGUGGGAUGUGCCAUGGUCAUAUAAAUGUUCUAGAAAAAUCGAUUUGGUAGAGGCCUUGAGGCAUGUCCAGGGCAAUGCGUUCGUGGUGGGGUGUCAGUGACCGCGGAAGGCUGUUACCAUGAGGAGCCAGCCCCCCACCCCCAUGACUUGCCCCUGCCCUGCUGAGGGCAACUGAGAUCACACCUCAGUGCAUGGGCUUCUGUCUCAGACGUAUCCCCUCUGGGUACUUGCAAACCCACCUUGACCAUUUGUCCGACAUGCUCCUCCAGGCUCCUCAUCAGGCUGGGAGUCUGGACUGUGCUGGGAGACCCUGCCCAGCAGAGCAUACACUGUGUCACGGCGCCCCCCUCACCGUGGACCCUCAGCCACGUGGGAGGCAGGAGAGGGGCGCCUGCACGUGACUCUUGCCUGGUGAAGGGCGCACAGCAGUGGCCCCUGCUGGGCCUGCUCCCCUCCUGUCCCACUUCCUAGUUCCGUCUACGUAGGCAGGUUUCCUCCAGGGAAAGUAGGAGAAGGCGACGUAGGGCCAGUUCACCCAGACCUUCUACAGAGAGGGCUCGAGGUAGAGGAACCCGGGGCUCAAACCUCCUUCUCUCUGCGCGCCCUCGCUCCCUCCUCCGUUCUCCGCUUUGCACGGUUUCCUGGUUCUCCUGGGACGUGGCUGGGCUCCUCUGGGCUGGGCGAGCUGCGCUUUCAGCUUCACGGUUCGCAGCCAGGGAGGAAGGUCAGCCCUCUCCUCUCUGAGAUCCAGUUUGGAAAAACCCUCCAGAAGGUCUCAGGUCAUGGGCCCACCCCCUGGACUCCAGGGUCUGGGGACUGAGAUGCUGGAAGGGCCUGUCUGGACAGUUUGCAGAGAGCAGAGUGAGUCUCUUAGGGGGUGUGUGUGUAUAUGUGUAUAAUGUGUAUUUGUGUAUAUGUGUGCGUGUGUGUACAGUGUUUGUGCAUGUAUAGUGUGUGUUUGUGUAUAUGUGUGUGUGUAUAAUGUGUGUUCGUGUAUACACAUAAAGUAUAUAUAUAUAAUUUGUAUGUGCGUGUGUGUGCAUGUAUACUGUGUGAGUAUGUGUGUGUGCACGUGUGCUGGGCACCCGGUUGUGCUCUCUGGGAGCCAUGCAUUCACAUGUCUGCACCUCGUGCUAAUUCCAGGCGAUCCACCAUUGGGUGUGAAUUACACGCAGUUGAAAUCAGGCCCAGGACCAAGUGCUUAGACCAGGGCAGCCAGGGAGGAGUCCUGGGUACCACUGGGCCGUGGGGGCUCCGGUCCUGAUUCUGCCACGAGAAGUGCCCAGACCUCUGGGACCCUGGGGUGCCAUGCAACUCUGGGGUUUCCAGAAAGUUCACAGGCUUUUUCCAACCCUCUCUGGUCGCACUGUUCUCAGCUUAAAGUUAACAAGAAAGGGGCGGGGGAGACUGAAAAGACCGUUCAUUUACAUUAUUUUUUUUCCAAUUUUUAAAAUCAUGCCCUCUGAGAGCACAUUGCCUUUGGGCUCAAGCACAAAAUCUAAAAAACCUUCAAUUCAAAAAGUCGGAGCAGCCUUUCCAAGGGCUGGACUGUGCCGAGCUGCCGAGGCGGCCCGUCCGGCCGUAUGGAAACCAGCCGCAGGGGCUGCCUGGCUGCGCGGGGACCACGUGGCGGAUGCACGGGCGCCCAGGCGGGCAGAGCAGCCGCGCUCAGCCGGGAGAGGCGGCCGCGUUGGGUUGGCGCUAAUUCGAGGCGGGCGGACGGUCAGGCUGCGCAGACACGGUUGGUUUGUAAACAGAUGGGCAGACAGGGUUUGCUGCCAGGGGCGUAACGAUCUGGGUGGGCCUCCUUGUCCCGGAAGUCCUCCCUGCUGCUUUGUCCGCCUUGUCUGCGCCCCCGGCGCUGGGCUGGGUCCGGAGCCGUGGGGAGCGCGCACGGGUGACCUUGUUUUGGGUCCCGGGGCGGGUCUCCCCAGAGAGAAGCACCGCUGAUGCAUAAAGAUGUUCUCACGGGCUUCCUCCGAUCCAGGAAGUCCUCCUCCGCCCCUACGGGGCCCCCUGCGUUCCCGGGGACAUCCUUGCUGCGGUUAGAGUAGGACCCUCCCCAAGUUCAAUGUUCAGUCCUAACCCCCAGCACAUCCAGGUGUGACCUUACUUGGCAAGAGGCUCCUGCAGGUGUAGUUGGUGAAGAUGAGGGUGGGCCUGAGCCCGAUGACCUGUGACCUUGCGUGAAGAGAACAUUCAGACACAGCGACCCGCACGCGGCGAGGAGGCUGGGGCUGCAGAAGCGGUGAUGAGCCAGUGGCCAGCAGACCCCCAGGAGCUGGAGGGGCCUGGGAAGGAGGCCGCCUGCCAGUCCCUGGAUCUCAGGCCUGCAGAGCAGAGGGGAGAAGUCCGGGUGGGUGAAGCCGCCCAGUCUGCGGAGCUCGGUUCCGACCACCCUGGGACCCGAACAGCCCUGUAACCAGCCAAAGAGGGCACCUGCUCUGUGCCGGCGCUUUCUGUGCGCCAUGAGCCACACGCCCCAGCAGGAGAGGAGCUGGCCACACUUCUCAGAGGAGGAGGCGGAGGCGCCGAAGGCUGAGGGUCGGGCUCGAGGAGGGUCCAGCCUGGAGGCAGCGUGGUUUUCUGUCCUUGGAACUGAGGGGCCUUUGCGCAGCCCUCUCCCCAGCUGAGCGGCUGCCCGUGGGGGAUCCGCGGGGAGGAAGGGGUCAGUAGGCUGAGGCUGCCCUGGUGAGGCCAGGGUUUACUUGUGUUUGCUCCUUCCCCAGCCUAAGUCAUUGUUUUCAUUUAUUUGUUUGUUUUUUGCUUUUUAGGGCCACACCCUUGGCACAUGGAGGUUCCCAGGCUAGGGGUGAAAUCAGAGCUGCAUCUGCAACCUACACCACAGCUCAGGGCAACACAGGAGCUUUCACCCCCGAGCGAGGCCGGGGAUCGAACCCGCAACCUCAUGGUUCCUAGUCAGAUUCGUUUCUGCUCUGCCCCAACGGGAACUCCCAAGUCACUGUUUUUACGUGUGUGGAUCUACAGACUCUGAGAACAGGAGCAGUGAUGUAGCCCCUUGUACAAUGGAGAUAGGGGACAUUCCAUCACAGGGGACAUUCCAUCACCCCAAGCGUCCUCGAGCCCUAGGCGGUCUUUGGGCUGAAGGAGGUCAACCCAGACGUGUCUGCCUUUGUCAGGCGACUGGUGGUCUGCUGGGGUCUGCUCCUGGUUUGAGGAGUCUCUCCCUUCACCCCUUGCGCCGUGGACCACCCACGCAAGGCCCCUGGUCAGGUGUGUGGCUUCUGUCUCCAGAGGCUCAGAGGGACUGGAAUCGCAUUCUGAUCGAAGCGUGCACCUGCCUUCGAAGGCUCGCUGUGCAUUCCUUGGCCUUCAUUCUGUCGGUGAAUUAGACGCUUCUCUCAUCGAUAUAAAUGGCCAGACAGUAGCAGUGGCUCCAGUGUCACCACUAAUAGGGUGUGGGUGACUUAAAAACGUGCCCAGUUAGAACAGGGACUGUCUCCCACUGCUCAAGACGUAGGAGGAAAUUCAAGUGCAAAUGUUAAAUAACCACUGACUGUUAAGCCCACACUUGCACGGUCAAGUACAAACAAAUGAAAACGUGAAUC
rnacentral:lncRNA from 1 species